CCUACGGGUGGCAGCAGUGGGGAAUAUUGCGCAAUGGACGAAAGCCUGACGCAGCGACGCCGCGUGCGGGAUGAAGGUCUUCGGAUCGGAAACCUGUGUCAGCAGGGAAGAAAGGUCAGUGUGCUAAUCAGCAGUGAAGUUACGGUACCUGCAAGGGAAGCACCGGCUAACUCCGUGCCAGGAGCCGCGGUAAUACGGAGGGUGCGAGCGUUAAUCGGAAUUACUGGGCGUAAAGCGCUCGUAGGCGGUAUGUCAAGUCAAGGGUGAAAUCCCCGCGCUCAAGGUGGGAACUGCCUUGGAAACUGGCAAACUGGAGUGUGUGAGAGGAUAGUGGAAUUCCAGGUGUAGGAGUGAAAUCCGUAGAUAUCUGGAGGAACAUCAGUGGCGAAGGCGACUAUCUGGCACAUAACUGACGCUGAGGAGCGAAAGCGUGGGUAGCAAACAGGAUUAGAUACCCUUGUAGUC
rnacentral:rRNA from 1 species